rnacentral:rRNA from 1 species
UGACCGAUAGUGAACCAGUACCGUGAGGGAAAGGCGAAAAGAACCCCGGCGAGGGGAGUGAAAAAGAACCUGAAACCGUGUACGUACAAGCAGUGGGAGCACAGGUUUACCUGUGUGACUGCGUACCUUUUGUAUAAUGGGUCAGCGACUUAUAUUCUGUAGCAAGGUUAACCGUAUAGGGGAGCCGGAGGGAAACCGAGUCUUAAUUGGGCGUUAAGUUGCAGGGUAUAGACCCGAAACCCGGUGAUCUAGCCAUGGGCAGGUUGAAGGUUGGGUAACACUAACUGGAGGACCGAACCGACUAAUGUUGAAAAAUUAGCGGAUGACCUGUGGCUGGGGGUGAAAGGCCAAUCAAACCGGGAGAUAGCUGGUUCUCCCCGAAAGCUAUUUAGGUAGCGCCUCGUGAAUUCAUCUCCGGGGGUAGAGCACUGUUUCGGCUAGGGGGCCAUCCCGGCUUACCAACCCGAUGCAAACUGCGAAUACCGGAGAAUGUUAUCACGGGAGACACACGGCGGGUGCUAACGUCCGUCGUGAAGAGGGAAACAACCCAGACCGCCAGCUAAGGUCCCAAAGUCAUGGUUAAGUGGGAAACGAUGUGGGAAGGCCCAGACAGCCAGGAUGUUGGCUUAGAAGCAGCCAUCAUUUAAAGAAAGCGUAAUAGCUCACUGGUCGAGUCGGCCUGCGCGGAAGAUGUAACGGGGCUAAACCAUG